GGUGAGUAAUGCCUANGAAUCUGCCUGGNAGUGGGGGACAACGUUUCCAAAGGAACGCUAAUNCCGCUUACGUCCUACGGGAGAAAGCAGGGGACCUUCAGGCCUUGCGCUAUCAGAUGAGCCUAGGUCGGAUUAGCUAGUUGGUGAGGUAAUGGCUCACCAAGGCUACGAUCCGUAACUGGUCUGAGAGGAUGAUCAGNCACACUGGAACUGAGACACGGACCAGACUCCUACGGGAGGCAGCAGUGGGGAAUAUUGGACAAUGGGCGAAAGCCUGAUCCAGCCAUGCCGCGUGUGUGAGGAAGGUCUUCGGAUUGUAAAGCACUUUAACUUGGGAGGAAGGGCAGUAAGCUAAUACCUUGCUGUUUUGACGUUNCCGACAGAAUAAGCACCGGCUAACUCUGUGNCAG
rnacentral:rRNA from 1 species